rnacentral:tRNA from 1 species
GGGGGGGGGUUUUUUAAAUUAAUUGUAAUAAAAACCUUAAAAACAGAAACAAAACUUUUUUCCCCCCCC